CAGAAGGACCAGGCAGCAGAGGAAUCCCCUAGCUGGCAAUAAGAAACUGAAAACCCAGGAUCCCAGCACAGACUGCUUCAGGAGCAAGGGACACAGCAGCACCUACUGAAACCAGUCUCCACUGUCCCAGAAAGACCCAUUGGAGCAACCUUAGACCCCUCAUGCAGGUGGACUAAAAAAAUCAGAGAGCACCCAAACUACUGACUUCUCCACUAAGAUCAGAAACAAACGCUGUUCGAUUGCACCCUGAAACCAUUUGCUUCUCAGCCUUCAGAGACCCAAACCAGCAAAGACACCAGCACACCAGCACAGCAGCCAACAGACAGGGGCAUUAAUGUGCCUCCUCUUGCUUCUUGGGAAUGAGGACACACCCAGGAAGUAAACUCCCAGCCUGGCUCCUUCCUGGUUCCCAGGUUCCUGCAAGCUGCCUGAUGUUAGAGGGUGCUGAAGAGCAAAUCCAGGACUCUUCCAUGAGACAAGUUCUCUACAGCUGAGCUACACUCCAAUUCCAGAAUACUCUUUUUCUAGAAGAGGCAUGCUGAGGCAUAGUGGUGCCUACAGGUCUACAGUGACUUCCAAAGAGCUCAACUUCCCACAUCAAAAUAUACACACAUAUGGGGGGCAGGAGGUGCUGAUAAAUAUGGCAAAACGAACUUUUUGUUAUUGUGUGAGACAGUAUCUCACUGUGUAGCCCUGGUUGGCCUAGUACUCAAGAUACAGCCCAGAGUGACCUUAAACUCACAAUCAUCUCACCGCAGCCUCCCAAGUGCGGGAAUUACAGGUGCGAGACACCAUACACAGCUGAUAAAAUGAG